rnacentral:rRNA from 1 species
UACGUAGGGGGCAAGCGUUUGUCCGGGAUUUAUUGGGCGUAAAAGAGCGCGCAGGCGGUUCGUUUAGUCCGAGGUGAAAUCUCCCGGCUCAACUGGGAGGGGUCUUCGGGAUACUAGCGGGCUUGAGGAGAGCAGAGGUGAGCGGAAUUCUCGGUGUAGUGGUGAAAUGCGUAGAUAUCGAGAGGAACACCGGUGGCGAAGGCGGCUCACUGGGCUCCACCUGACGCUGAGGCGCGAAAGCGUGGGGAGCGAACCGG